ensembl:lncRNA
AUGGUUGAGGUAAUUGUUUGCAUCAUAGUAUUCCUUCUGUACUUGUUUGUUUGUAGGUUUGAGAGAACUGAGGAAGAAACACACGCUACUUUCCCCAGUGUACCUUCAACCAUCAUGAGUGUCUGGAUUCAUUUCAGCCUCUGGUCCUCCUGGGAAACGUGGACGGAUGGGCAGAAGAGGCGACCCUGGACCCCCAGUAAGUACCCUGUCCUCACACUUCAAAAUAAUGACAUUAGGCAGAUAUGGGCUCUGUGUUGUGGUAAGGCUGACAAAAGGAAGGGUGAGUCAUAAAACCUGAGAAACGGCCUUCAAGUUCUGGAAUCAUUUAUACAUCCUGAAUAUUUGCACCAAGUUUUUCUUACUUUACAUUUCUAGAACCUCCAAAUCUAAGCUUCUGAAACAUUAGCAUUCUAGAAUUAGCAUUCUUCUGAGAUUCCAGAAUAAAGUUCUGGAAUAUUCACUUCA